rnacentral:rRNA from 1 species
CAGCCGCCGCGGUAAUACGUAGGUGGCAAGCGUUGUCCGGAAUUAUUGGGCGUAAAGGGCUCGCAGGCGGUUUCUUAAGUCUGAUGUGAAAGCCCCCGGCUCAACCGGGGAGGGUCAUUGGAAACUGGGAAACUUGAGUGCAGAAGAGGAGAGUGGAAUUCCACGUGUAGCGGUGAAAUGCGUAGAGAUGUGGAGGAACACCAGUGGCGAAGGCGACUCUCUGGUCUGUAACUGACGCUGAGGAGCGAAAGCGUGGGGAGCGAACAGGAUUAGAUACCCCUGUAGUCCCUGUCGCUUAUAC